CAUUUUAUUAGGUUGGUGCAAAAGUAAUUGCGAUUUUUGCCGUUAAAAGUAAUGACAAAAACCACAGUUACUUUUGCACCAACCUAAUACAUUCCCAACA
ensembl:miRNA